GGGCCGUUAGCUCACCUGGUAGAGCGCCGCGCUGGCAGUGCGGAGGUAACCGGUUCGAUCCCGGUACGGUCCA
rnacentral:tRNA from 1 species